CCCCUAGAUGUUCUGGGCCGCACGCGCGCUACACUGCACAGUUCAACAAGUCUUAACCUUGGCCGAUAGGUCUGGGUAAUCUUUGAACGCUGUUCGUGAUUGGGAUAGACCUUUGCAAUUAUGGGUCUUCAACGAGGAAUUCCUAGUAAACGCAAGUCAUCAGCUUGCAUUGAUUACGUCCCUGCCCUUUGUACACACCGCCCGUCGCACCUACCGAUUGAAUGGUCCGGUGAAAUCUCGGGACGGCGGCUUGGUCGCUUGCGUCCGACUGCUGAAACUUGAUUAAACCAUAUCAUUUAGAGGAAGGUGAAGUCGUAACA
rnacentral:rRNA from 1 species